rnacentral:rRNA from 1 species
CAGUCGAACGGGAAUUACUUUAUUGAAACUUCGGUCGAUUUAAUUUAAUUCUAGUGGCGGACGGGUGAGUAACGCGUGGGUAACCUGCCUUAUACAGGGGGAUAACAGUCAGAAAUGGCUGCUAAUACCGCAUAAGCGCACAGAGCUGCAUGGCUCGGUGUGAAAAACUCCGGUGGUAUAAGAUGGACCCGCGUUGGAUUAGCUUGUUGGUGGGGUAACGGCCCACCAAGGCGACGAUCCAUAGCCGGCCUGAGAGGGUGAACGGCCACAUUGGGACUGAGACACGGCCCAGACUCCUACGGGAGGCAGCAGUGGGGAAUAUUGCACAAUGGGGGAAACCCUGAUGCAGCGACGCCGCGUGAAGGAAGAAGUAUCUCGGUAUGUAAACUUCUAUCAGCAGGGAAGAUAAUGACGGUACUCAACAAGGAAGUGACGGCUAACUACGUGCCAGCAGCCGCGGUAAAACGUAGGUCACAAGCGCUGUCCGGAAUUACUGGGUGUAAAGGGAGCGCAGGCGGGAGAACAGGUUGGAAGUGAAAUCCAUGGGCUCAACCCAUGAACUGCUUUCAAAACUGUUUUUCUUGAGUAGUGCAGAGGUAGGCGGAAUUCCCGGUGUAGCGGUGGAAUGCGUAGAUAUCGGGAGGAACACCAGUGGCG